rnacentral:rRNA from 1 species
GUGAGGAAUAUUGGUCAAUGGGCGAGAGCCUGAACCAGCCAAGUCGCGUGAAGGAAGAAGGAUCUAUGGUUCGUAAACUUCUUUUGCAGGGGAAUAAAGUGCAGGACGUGUCCUGUUUUGUAUGUACCCUGAGAAUAAGGAUCGGCUAACUCCGUGCCAGCAGCCGCGGUCAUACGGAGGAUCCGAGCGUUAUCCGGAUUUAUUGGGUUUAAAGGGUGCGUAGGUGGUUUGAUAAGUCAGCGGUGAAAGUUUGCAGCUUAACUGUAAAAAUGCCGUUGAAACUGUCGGACUUGAGUGUAAAUGAGGUAGGCGGAAUGCGUGGUGUAGCGGUGAAAUACAUAGAUAUCACGCAGAACUCCGAUUGCGAAGGCAGCUUACUAAGCUACAACUGACACUGAAGCACGAAAGCGUGGGGAUCAAACAGGAUUAGAUACCCGGGUAGUCC